GUGCAGUCGGGGCAGAUGGCCUUGGAGGUUGCCGCAAGGGCUGCUCUGGGGGUGGUCCCCCAGGUCCAGUUGUGAACAUCCAGCUGUGGGGGCUGGGGGCUGGCCUGGUGCCCGAGGUGCCCAAGGCCCUGAGGAGGGCAGCUGGGAAGGAGGCUGGACUCUGUACUGUCUUUCCAGCUGGGCUCCGUGAAGCUCAGUUGCACACCAGGAGGCCUCGGCCCCACCCCAACCAUUCUCUCCCCGGCAUCACAAUGCGUGACCCGCCCUGGGCAGCUCUGGGGUCAGGCUGGGCCCUUUAGUCACGCAUGAGUGUCCUGGCCCUGGAUCCUCCACUGGGGCUGGCUCCUGGCUGCUGCCCUCUGGAGCCCCCACUCCUGCUGAAUUUGCCCCUGGACCUGGCCUGCCCCCACCCCACCUUGUUUGUGCCAUAAGGGUUGUGUCUUUGGGGGGAGGAGGGAUGGCUGAAAUUCACAUCCUGGGCUGUCCAUCUCCCAGAAAUCCACUUCCUGCCCACCACCGCCACCACUGGAGCUAUGUGCCCAGUGGCCGCAUGCCACCUUCCUGUCCCCAGCAGCAAGGUGCUGGGUGUCCUACUCUGGGGGGCCUUUGACUGAGGGUCACUGUUGCCUGUUUCUGGGCAGUGGUCUUGUCUCCUGACAUGGGGUUUUUAGCAUUUCUGAGGUUUGGAGGUUAAGCGGGUUUUGUGCGAUUUUUAGCACAUUCAUAUCUUUUCUACAUUGAAUGUUUGGAUCUUUUCUUUGUUGUGUGCAUGUGUAUCUGUGUGCGUAUGUGUGUGUAUGUGUCUAAGUGUUUGCAGGUGGUGGCGGUACAUGGGGACUCAGGCCUGGGGCUCCCCUUUCCAGGGCCAGCCAUGGCGUGCUGGGCGGCCCCAAGGCGUGGCCCUCAGCUGAGAGCAGGGAGCCCUUCCCUGGCCCCUCGUGCCCUCCCAGACCAGCAGUGAGCGGGGGAUGACUUGAAGUGGGUGCUCUGUGGUGACAGGCCUCGCUGGCACAGUCUAUUUCUGGACACGUUCUCACAGUCUCCCAUUGGGGACCGUUUUGUUCUUCCCAGGGCAGCAUGAGCUUCUCAAGUUGCCCACAGACUGGGGCUCGGCCCACAGGAGCCAGAAUGCUGCAGGCAGCCCCACGCGGGCAGGCUGCGUGCCGAGCAGGCCUGCACUCCCCCUGCCAAGGACUGGGACUGGAGAGUGGCUGCACUGGCUGCUGAAGACAAAGCAGAACGCGUGUCCUGCCUCCACUGUGUUCUGGGCACUGAGCAGCUGUCACAGGCCUUGUUGGUGCUAGGUGAGGGUCCUGAGCACUCCUGCUUUGGAGUGGGCUCCCCCAUGGAGCCCCAGAGGAUCCUGCCCCCAACAGCUCAGGGUCCCUCCCAACCCCCGUGUCUCUGGCCCAGGCCUCAGACCCGUGUGUACAGGGCAGGGCUCCCAGGCCCGGAGCAGGCUGUGGGGGCCACAGAUGGGGGCCUGCUUCUGGACAGGCCAGGGCUCCGGGGUUGCUCAGCCCACGUGCAGCACUGUUUCAGGCCUUGCCUGCUGCCCGCAGUGUCCGCAGGAGCUAGUGCCCCAGGGGCUGAGCUCCACUGGGGGUGGGGGUGGGGGAGCAAGGGGAGAGGUGGGGUCGGCCUUCUGCCCAGGCCAACCGUCAUGAGAUCUGGUUGUGCUCCGUGGUCAGACGAAUCCCAACCAGCCCUGGCUGAGACUCUUGUGCUCCUGUGAGAGCUGCUGACCUGCUUGGUGGGGGUGGGUGUCUAUAGGCCAUUGUCUCAAGGCCUGUUUAUGUUUUCCUUUCACUAAGGGUUUUUAGUUUGGGUUUAUUUUGGUUGGGUUGGCACUAAUUCUUAAGAUGCUGUGAGAACCGUUUCAUCCGAAUGCCAAAUAAAUUUGUGUUCUGG
ensembl:lncRNA